UACAGAGGUCUCAAGCGUUGCUCGGAAUUACUGGGCGUAAAGCGCACGUAGGCGGCUUUCUAAGUCGGGGGUGAAAUCCUGGAGCUCAACUCCAGAACUGCCUUCGAUACUGGAGAGCUCGAGUCCGGGAGAGGUGAGUGGAACUGCGAGUGUAGAGGUGAAAUUCGUAGAUAUUCGCAAGAACACCAGUGGCGAAGGCGGCUCACUGGUCCGGUACUGACGCUGAGGUGCGAAAGCGUGGGGAGCAAACAGG
rnacentral:rRNA from 1 species